rnacentral:rRNA from 1 species
UACGGGGGGAGCAAGCGUUGUUCGGAUUUACUGGGCGUAAAGGGCGCGUAGGCGGCCACUGCAAGUCAGUUGUGAAAUCUCCGGGCUUAACCCGGAAAGGUCAACUGAUACUGCAGGGCUAGAGUGCAGAAGGGGCAACUGGAAUUCUCGGUGUAGCGGUGAAAUGCGUAGAUAUCGAGAGGAACACCUGCGGCGAAGGCGGGUUGCUGGGCUGACACGUGACGCUGAGGCGCGAAAGCCAGGGGAGCGAACGGGAUUAGACGUACCC